rnacentral:rRNA from 1 species
AAUAUUGGACAAUGGGGGCAACCCUGAUCCAGCCAUGCCGCUUGUGUUAAGAAUGUCUUCGGAUUGUAAAGCACUUUCAGUUGGGAGGAAGGGCCUUAGGUUAAUACCCUGAAGUAUUGUCGAUACCAACAGAAUAAGUACCGGCUAACUCUCUGCCAGCAGCCCCGGUAAUACAGUGGGUGCAAGCUUUAAUCGGAAUUACCGGGCGUAAAGCGUGCGUAGGUGGUUCAGUAAGAUGGGUGUGAAAUCCCCGGGCUUAACCUGGGAACUGCUUUCAUAACUGCUGAGCUAGAGUACGGUAGAGGGUAGUGGAAUUGCCUGUGUAGCGGUGAAAUGCGUAGAUAUAGGAAGGAACACCAGUGGCGAAGGCGACUACCUGGACUGAUACUGACACUGAGGUGCGAAAGCGUGGGGAGCAAAC